rnacentral:rRNA from 1 species
CCUACGGGAGGCAGCAGUGAGGAAUAUUGGUCAAUGGGCGAGAGCCUGAACCAGCCAAGUCGCGUGAGGGAGUACUGCCCUAUGGGUUGUAAACCUCUUUUGUCGGUGCGCAAAAGCCGGACGUGUCCGGCUGUGAGAGUACCCGAAGAAAAAGCAUCGGCUAACUCCGUGCCAGCAGCCGCGGUAAUACGGAGGAUGCGAGCGUUAUCCGGAUUUAUUGGGUUUAAAGGGUGCGCAGGCGGAUUUUUAAGUCAGCGGUAAAAUCGUGGGGCUCAACCCCAUCCAGCCGGUGAAACUGGGGAUCUAGAGUGUGCGAGAGGUAGGCGGAAUGCGUGGUGUAGCGGUGAAAUGCAUAGAUAUCACGCAGAACCCCGAUUGCGAAGGCAGCAUACCGGUGCACAACUGACGCUCAGGCACGAAAGCGUGGGUAUCGAACAGGAUUAGAUACCCCGGUAGUC